rnacentral:rRNA from 1 species
GACGAACGCUGGCGGCGUGCCUAAUACAUGCAAGUAGAACGCUGAAGGAGGAGCUUGCUCUUCUGGAUGAGUUGCGAACGGGUGAGUAACGCGUAGGUAACCUGCCUGGUAGCGGGGGAUAACUAUUGGAAACGAUAGCUAAUACCGCAUAACAGUAGAUGUUGCAUGACAUUUACUUAAAAGGUGCAAUUGCAUCACUACCAGAUGGACCUGCGUUGUAUUAGCUAGUUGGUGGGGUAACGGCUCACCAAGGCGACGAUACAUAGCCGACCUGAGAGGGUGAUCGGCCACACUGGGACUGAGACACGGCCCAGACUCCUACGGGAGGCAGCAGUAGGGGAUCUUCGGCAAUGGACGGAAGUCUGACCGAGCAACGCCGCGGGGGUGAAGAAGGUUUUCGGAUCGUAAAGCUCUGUUGUAAGAGAAGAACGAGUGUGAGAGUGGAAAGUUCACACUGUGACGGUAUCUUACCAGAAAGGGACGGCUAACUACGUG